GACGAACGCUGGCGGCGUGCUUAACACAUGCAAGUCGAGCGGUAAGGCCCUUUCGGGGGUACGACGAGCGGCGAACGGGUAGGAGUAACAACGUGGGUGGACCUCGCCCUCCAGCUCUGGGAGUAAGCCUGGGAAACGUAGGGUCGUAAUAACUGGAUAUGACUCCACGGUGCAUGUCGUGGGGUGGGAAAGCCUUGUGCGGCUGAGGA
rnacentral:rRNA from 1 species